UACGUAGGGUCCGAGCGUUGUUCGGAUUUACUGGGCGUAAAGGGCGCGUAGGCGGUAGCACAAGUCAGUUGUGAAAUCUCCGGGCUUAACUCGGAAAGGUCAACUGAUACUGUGCGACUAGAGUGCAGAAGGGGCAACUGGAAUUCUCGGUGUAGCGGUGAAAUGCGUAGAUAUCGGGAGGAACACCUGCGGCGAAGGCGGGUUGCUGGGCUGACACUGACGCUGAGGCGCGAAAGCCAGGGGAGCGAACGGG
rnacentral:rRNA from 1 species